AAGGCUUUAGUUAGAGAUGAAAGCAAGAAAAAAACACAAUGGGAUUAAGACUCAGUGCUGGUACAGUAGGACGAGAGGAGCCAAAUGAUAAUGUGUCAUAAGUCAAAUAAUACAUAGGGAAGUUAAAGCAGGACAUUCUCAUAUUCGAUGAAGACUGAGACAGAGAUCCAUCCUUCCUGGCUCUCCAUUUUUCUAAGCCACCUGUG
rnacentral:lncRNA from 1 species